rnacentral:rRNA from 1 species
GAGUUUGAUCCUGGCUCAGGAUGAACGCUGGCGGCGUGCUUAACACAUGCAAGUCGAACGGGAUCCAUGGUGUCGCAAGACAUCGGACGAUCUAGUGGCGAACGGGUGCGUAACACGUGAGGAACCUACCCCGGACUCUGGAAUAACAAGUGGAAACACUUGCUAAUACCGGAUGCCGUCACAUUGCCACAUGGUGGAGUGACGAAAGAUUUAUCGGUCUGGGAGGGCCUCGCGGCCUAUCAGCUUGUUGGUGAGGUAACGGCUCACCAAGGCAUCGACGGGUAGCUGGUCUGAGAGGAUGAUCAGCCACACUGGGACUGAGACACGGCCCAGACUCCUACGGGAGGCAGCAGUGGGGAAUCUUGCACAAUGGGCGAAAGCCUGAUGCAGCAACGCCGCGUGCGGGAAGAAGGCCUUAGGGUUGUAAACCGCUUUCAGUAGGGAAGAGAAUGACGGUACCUAUAGAAGAAGGUGCGGCCAACUACGUGCCAGCAGCCGCGGUGACACGUAGGCACCAAGCGUUAUCCGGAUUUAUUGGGCGUAAAGAGCUCGUAGGCGGUUCAGUAAGUCGGGUGUGAAAACUCAGGGCUCAACCCUGAGCUGCCACUCGAUACUGCUGUGACUUGAGUAUGGUAGGGGAGCGCGGAAUUCCCG